rnacentral:rRNA from 1 species
GUGAAGCAGCCCCGCGAGGGUGAGCAAACCACAGAAACGGCGUCCCAGUUCGGAUUGCAGCCUGCAACUCGGCUGCAUGAAGCUGGAAUCGCUAGUAAUCGCGGAUCAGAAUGCCGCGGUGAAUACGUUCCCGGGUCUUGUACACACCGCCCGUCACACCAUGGGAGUCGGGAAUGCCCGAAGUCAGUGACCCAACCGAAAGGGGGGAGCUGCCGAAGGCAGGCCUGGUAACUGGGGUGAAGUCGUAACAAGGUAAC